AUCACUUUGUAAGUUGUUUAAGGUGAAAUAAAUUCAUCCGAAAUAAUUAACUAGUCAUUAAGAGAACAAUUAAACACUUCUUAUAAUUGAAAGAUUAUAGGUUGAAACGUUUUGUUCAUAUUACCAUAAGUAAAAUAGAGUGUUUAAAGCAGAACGUUUGUUCAUUGAAUAAUAGAGUAUGGGAUAAUAGAAGACGAAGGAGAUAUGAAGAAGUUCUUCAUACUUAAUGCAAGUUAAGGUUGGUCAUAUUUCUUUAAUGAUUAAUAGGGACUAUUGGGGUAAUUAAUAUUUCUACACGAGCGGUGAAAUGCGUAGACUGUAGAAAGAUUAACUAAUGCGAAAGCAUUAAACAAAGGUGUUUUCGUUAAUCAAGAACUUAAGUUAAGGGAUUAAAUAAGACGCGUGGAGGUGACCUUUCACUGAAACUUAAAGGAAUUGACGCAAGGGCACAACCGGAGUGGAGCCUGCGGCUUAAUUUGACUCAACACGGGGAAACUUACCACCUCCAGACAUGGGAAGGAUUGACAGAUUGAUAGCUCUUUCUUGAUUCUAUGGAAGCAGGAUCGGAUGGAACACUCCCACAUUACUCUAGAGAAGCACUUGCCAACAUUAUUAUCGAACAUAUUAUCGAGGAAGGAAGACCUCUCGUAUGCUUAAGUGGGUGCCGAAGAUGAUCAGAUACCGUCGUAGUCUUAACCAUAAACGAUGUCGACAAAGGAUAGGAAUGAAAGUAUUAAUAUACUUUCUUCUUAUAAAUGUACUAAAAGAAGUUAUUAUAGCAAUAUAGUAACUUUGUUUACUGUCUCUUCCCGAAUUUUGUAAGAAAUUACCAGUUAUCGGACUUUGGGGGUAGUAUGGUCGCAAGGCUGAAACUUAAAGGAAUUGACGGAAGGGCACCACCAGGUGUUCUUAGAUGUUCUGGGCCACACGCGUGUUACAAUGGUAAAGAUUAAAGGGUUCUUGAUUUUUAUUGAAGUGGAGCAAUCCAAUUCAAUAUUAUCUGUAGCUUAAUAGAAAUAUUUGGCUAAUCCUUAUUGAAUCUUUUUAACCAUAUCUGGGAUAGAUGCUUGUAAUUUUUCAUCUUCAACUUGGAAUACCUCUUGGAAUACCUAGUAAGCACACGUCAACAACAUGUGCUGAUUACGUCCCUGCCCUUUGUACACA
rnacentral:rRNA from 1 species